GGAAACUUGGAAACUACCGUUGGAUCGAGAAAUGGACGUUCGAGAUUCGUCCACGUCAUCAUGAGUUAAAUUUUAACUCAUGAGGACUCUCAUGAGUUAAAAUUUAACUCAUGAUGACGUGGACGAAUCUCGAACGUCCAUUUCUCGAUCCAACGGUAGUUUUCAAGUUUCC
rnacentral:pre_miRNA from 1 species